UCGCGGGUGGAAGUCCCGCCCUGGUAGUCGCCGGAGAGCCAGGUAGCAGGCUCCGGGCGUCGGGAGAGAUCCCGCCGUCUGAGCGGAGCGUCGAGAGCCCGA
rnacentral:sRNA from 2 species